CAAGACAAAGCACUUCUUUUCAGCUUGUCUUUCAUGUGUGUCUUGCUCAAUCAGAGCAUACUAUUUAUGUUUGAAUUUUAUAUACAUUUUAGGGAGAGUGUGGGGUAUUAACCAAGUUUGCAAUUGUCCUUUGGCCAUUAGGGAAGCUUGGCCAAAUACCCACUCCAACAGAUAUAGCUGCUCUUGUUUUCAUUUUUUGCUUCAGAAUUCAGAUUGUAAUUGAGAGGUAGAGAGAGCCUUCCAUGGCUAUAAUGCUCUAAGAAGCUUUGUUCUUGUAUGAACUUUAUUUACAACUCUUGCAAGGUUUGUUCUCUUAUAAGUUGUAAUUGAAAUUCAAGGGUAUUUCUUCUUGAAAGAAUUGUUCUUGGAUUGAACACCAUCUUGCAUUUAUUUUCUGAUUCUCUUCACAUUGGAUGUUGAGGGUUGGGAAAGAGUAGAAGAUCACUUAGUCUUGAUUGGAGGGACGGUCCAAUAGCUGCCACAAUAAAAGUGGCUGUUCCUUUGAAAGUUAUCAAGGGAGCUUGUAUAAGCUCUUUUGCUGCAUCAGUAUGUCCAUGCCUAGCUGCAAUGGGCAACAGAGUAUUACCUUCAUAAUUGUCCUAUGAUAACAACUUUAGGCAAUUGUCAACUACUUGAUUUAUUAACUCAGUAGAUAUUUUCCUUGGAAAGAAAACAUGAAUAUGCAGUAUUGUGUUUCCAUUUGGUCUCACUAUGCAAUCAAGAUGAUAUAAAUGUUCAUUGAAUGGAUCAAAUUUGCCUUGUUCUGCUGCCUUCUUUAAGUCAUCAUCCAUGGAUGGGCAUCUCGUGUGGAAGCAAUUUUUGCUAGCAUUUGACUUCUCCAUCAUAAGUGCUAGAAUUUGAAAUAAGUGUGCAUUUGGCAGUCUCCAGAGGCUUUCUAUGAAGGUACACAUACUGUACAAGAUGCCUGUGUAGGUUUUGGCAUGUUUGGAUAUCUUCCAUGAAAGUGUACAACCGAGCUGCAUAGGCCGUGCAGCAUGUUGUGAAAGUUUCAGUAAUUUUCAAAUGUCCUCCGUGAAGGUGCACAGGAUAGACAUGAAAGUACACAAGCUGUGUAGUCUCUUGUACAAAUUUCGACAGGUCCAAAAACUAGUUCAGAUUUCUAUAUAAAAGCUGCACAGGUUAUGCAAUAAGUUGUGCAGAUUUUGGCAAUUUUCAUAUUCUUCAAUUUCUAAGCUUUAUUUUCGCACUUUUAGACCUGAAAAUCAUUCCUCACUUGUACAAUUACUUUUUAGUCCCUCAAAAAUAUGAUUUUAUCUAUAAAACAAAAGCAAAAUUAUAAAUUAGUCCAAAAAUUGACAAUUAUGAAAAAUUAGCUGAAUAACUAAUAAAAUUAACUAAAAAUGAAUAAUAAAUCAUUUAAAUGACUAUCAAAUUUAACCUAAAUUGCUAUAUAAAAUGUAUGUAUUAAAUACCCCCAAACACAAAUUUUUACUUGUACUAAAGCAAACUUUUAAAAUAUAAUGCAAUUUUAGGGGUGCCUUGUCCAAGGAGUUAUGAAAAUCAUCUACUAGAACAAUCUAACUCACCUCUAGCCAUACCAACAAUCCAUAUUCCCAUCCUUCAAGAUGUGAAGAAUUUAAUGUUUACCCAAGCUUUUAUCGUUUAGCCAUCAAGUCAAUUAUCAUU
rnacentral:misc_RNA from 1 species